UUUAGCUUUGGCUGACUCGGACGCGCGCGCCUUCUACAGAGACCGAAGGACUCUUCAUGUAUCCGGAAGGAGAAAUCAGAGUAGGUCAGGUUGUCCUGAAUGCCAUGGUCCUUCAGGUAGGUUGAAAGUUUCGUUUAUGUGUUUGUUUGUUUGUUUUGGCUUUUGAGACA
rnacentral:lncRNA from 14 species